AGAUCGUCUCAGAAGCGGAUUUCUCCGUGGCUCUCAGAAUCUGCAUAUCCCAUCCGUCCAUUCCAUCUGAGCGUCCAAAAGGUGACACAUCAUCCAAAUUUAAAAUCGCAUAUAAACCGUUCAUCCCAUUGUAAUUCUCGCCGCACAUUCAAUUACAAAAUACCUAUGGCCUCCACGAAGACACUUUCUCAGUUUGCCGUGAAUUUCCAACCCCAUCAGCGACAUAAAUAGGGAGCUCCAUGGCUACCGAGGAUUAGGCACUAUGAGAGAAUCACUAUAGUUUUGCUGAAAGCAAUUUAUGGGGUCUGCAAGGUUGUGAAUCCAGAGAAGCUAAAAUGAGGCAACCCAUGCUAAAGCUGUUAUGGAAAAUGACCUUCACCCAAUGAGAAGGAAGAAAGAAGAGCAAUGUAGAUGUUAGUAUAGUGUUAUAAAGAAUGACCGUGUAUUUAGCAUCUUAAUGUAUAAUAUACAUUGAUUUUAAUAAAAGUGAUCAUCUCCCCUUAA